rnacentral:lncRNA from 10 species
GGAUUACAGGCGUGAGACACCACACCUGACCUGAAAAGACAUUUUCUUGGGAGGAUCAGAAAAUAAUUUUGUUUCUAAUUUCACAGAGUUUUCUGGGGUUUUUUAUUUUUUAUUUUGUUUGUUUAUUUAUUUUUAAGACAGUAUCUCACUCUGUCACCCAGGCUGGAGUGCAGUGAUGCAAUGUCAGUGUACUGCAACCUCCACUUCCUGGGUUCAAGCGAUCCUCCCGCUUCAGCCUCCCAAGUAGCUGUGACUACAGGCACACCACCAUGCCUGGCUAAUUUCUGGAUUUUGUUGUUAUUGUUGUUGAUGUUUUGUAGGGAAGGGGUUUUGCCAUGUUGCCCAGCCCGCUCUUGAACUCCUGAGCUCAAGCAAUCCUCUACCAUGGGCCUCCCAAAGCCCUGAAAUCACAGGCAAUGAGCCACCAUGCCCAACCUCACAGUUUUCUAUAAGCCUAAUUGUAUUCACUUGUGUUCACCCGACCUUCCUUCUACACACACUUCCAGAUGUUGAAAUAGCUACCUGUAACGAACAUCGACAAUGUGCUAAAGGUUUUACGUUAACGGUUUCGUUGAACCUGCAAAACAGCCCCAUGAGGUCCAUGCUAUUAUCAUCACCCCACUGUGGAAACAGGAAGACUGAGACCUAGAGAAGUCCUGUAUCACCAGGUCAACCUAGCAGGAAGCUUGCAUCUGAGCCCAGAGCUCAAGGUCAUAAUCAUUAUACUGUAUGACCUCCUUGCUUUUCUCACUCAAAACCUUCAGGGCCUUAAAGGAAACUACCAUCAAGGGCAGUUUAUGCUGGAACCAAAAAUGGUGGCCAGGGUUCUAUGCUGAGGAUCAGGGAGUCCAGAAUAAGGAACCAGCCGCACUUGAGUUUACCAUGUAAUUGGAGACAAGUCACCAGCUCCCAUUCUGCAUCCCCAUCAGGUUCUCAGAUGUAGCCCCCAUUACUUGUCCACCCUCAUGCCCUGCUUCUCUAUACCUUCUUCUUACAUGCCAGAAACAGCUAACUGCUCCUAGCUCCCUGUGCCCACUAAAUUCCUUGUGCUAUACUGCCUUGGCCCGAGUAGUUCCUGUCACCUCCCAUGCCUUUCCUACAUUCUCCACCUGAACUCAUUUUUCAAGUCUCUGCUACAAGGUCACUGUUGAGAGCUACUCAGAAUCUUGAGGAGGUCUAAUUUUAAAACAGAAUUAGAAAUGCAUCAGUGCAGGUAGAAGACAGAAAAUUGGGGAUGGGACACGUGCAGUGGCUCAUGCCUGUAAACUCAACACUUUGAGAGGCUGAGGUGAGAAGAAUGCUUGAGGCCAGGAGUUCAAGACCAGCCUGGGCAACACAGUUAAACCUUGUCUCUAAAUAAAAAAAUUAAAAAUUAAAAAAUUAAAUAUUCAAUAAAAAAUAAAAAUUAGGCCAGGCACAGUGGCUCAUGCCUGUAAUCCCAGCACUCGCCAAGGUGGGUGAAUCAUCUGAGGUCAGGAGUUCGAGACCAGCCUGGCCAACAUGGUGAAACCCCAUCUCUACUGAAAAUACAAAAAAAUUAGCCCAGUGUGGUGGCUCACACCUAUAAUCCCAGCUACUCAGGAAGCUGAGGCAGGAGAAUCGUUUGAACCCAGGAAGGGGAGGUUGCAGUGAGCCGAGAUCGCACCACUGCAUUCCCGCCUUGGUGACAGUGCGAGACUCUGUCUCAAAAAUAAAUAAAUAAAUACAUACAUACAUACAUACAUACAUACAAAAUAAAAAUGAGUGCAUAUUCUCCCUCCACAAAGCAAAACAUCUUGUUAGGACAUAGAUUUGUUUGGGUUGUCUAUUGCCAAGUGGCCAACUAUUCCAAAACUUAAUGGCUUAAUACAACAGUGCUUUAUUUUACUCACAAAUUUAUAGGUUGAGUAGGGCUCAGUGAAAACAGCUCAUCUCCAUUCGAGGUGGCACGCACUGGGGUAGCUAGAUGGAGAACUAAAUCAUAACUCGUAUGGCUGACAAGUUGGUGCUGUCUAUCAGCUGGGACCUCAGCCAGGGCUAUGGGCUGGGGACCUCAGUCUUCCUCACAUGGGCCUCUCCACAGGACAUUUGGGCUUCCUCACAGCAUGAUGGCUGGCUUCCAAGAUGGAGCACAAGGCAGAUGUGCAUGGCAUUUUUAUAAGCUAGGCUCAGAAGUCACAUACCAUCACUUCUACGUUCAGUUGGUCAAGACAGUCCCCAAGACCCAUCCAGAUUCACAGGGAGGGCACAAAAAUUACAACUCAAUGGGGAUGCCAAGGCCAUAGCACCGCAUGUGCGACAGGAGACCUUACUGUAAUCAUCUAUGGAAAAUACAAUCUGCCACAAUUUGCACAUGGCUUUUCAUAACCUCCAACUAAUUGUUUUAGAAUUUCUCAUUAUUUCCCACACCCUCUGAGAGGAGCCAAUGCCAGAAAGAAGCAACAUCCAGGUGACCCAGAAUAUUGGAUGCACAAUGGUGAACUUCCGGAUGUCUCAGGGAAUAUCAAAGGCUAUGGCAAAGCCCCAGGCAAGAUAAGAUCAAAAGCCUUUCCUUCUGCCUUUUUUGUUUUGUGGGUUGCCAUAGUGAUGGCAAGGGUAAAAUUUGAGAGGCAAUUGUAGACAUUAUGAUGAUAGUGGCUCUUACAAAAUCUGCACCUAAGUUCACCAACACACACACACACACACACAAACGCACACACACAUGGGAUCAGGGCAUGUAGAACCGAGUAUUGCAAGGACUGGUAUCCAAAAAAAAUGAAUUAAGUUUUCUAAAAUUCUGCUGGUUGUAAUGCGUCUGUCUUUUUAGCUGAUCUUGACACCCCAAAGACACAAAGCUACUAGGAUGGUAGGCUCCCUGGGAAUUCUUCUCUGCUCCUUCAAAUAAAGCUGUGUUCUGCCUCUCAGCUUCCAUAACCAGCUUGUUCUUAUCCUUGUCACAGCCUAUAUUGGUCUGCACUCUAAUCAGCUAUGCACCUGUCUGUCUCCUUCAUGGGAUGGAGAUGACUUGAGAAAAGGGACCCCCAUCACGUAGCACAAUGCCUAGUCACACAGCAGGUGCUCAACAGAUGUUGGGAAACUGACUUAACCAUCUCUAUCUCUUUCUUCCCGCAGUGCAUUUGUCAACUUAGCAUCUUCAUUGUUUUGGAUCCUUGAGGGACAUUGAACUGCUGUGAAGGGAGUGAGUGCUGUGGUACACAUGCUAAUUCAACUUUGCCCUAUUGUUGGACAGUGGAAUGAUUUCCUUUUUUUCCCAUUGUAAAUAAUGCUAUGAUGAGACACGGAUGAAUAAAACCUUUUCUGCAUUUCAGAUUAUUCCCUAAGGCUCACUUCCAAGUUUGGAAACUACUGGAUGAAAGGAUAGAGACAUACUGAAGGCUCUUGAUUCAAGCCAGAAAACUGUUCUUCAUAAAGACAGCAAUUUGCAUUCUGUAGCUGCAUUUUAACAUGACAAUGAUACUAAUAGUAAUAAUAUCAGUAAUAAUAACAGCAAUGUAAUAUAGUACUCACCAAGUACCAUAUAUCCUUCUAAGUUCUUGAUAUUAAUUAUCUCAGUUAAUCCUCUUAACAGUCCUAUAAAUAAAGCAUGAUUAUUAUCUCCAUUUAUAGACAGGGAAACUGAGGGACAAAAAUUGUCCUUGCCCAGAGACACACAACCAAGAUGUCAGACCAAGCUACAAACCCAAAAAGCCCUAAGACAGAAGCAUGAGAGCCUCAUCGUCUUCCUUCCUCACGAUGGUUAAAGAGAAAGCAGUGUCCCUCACUGGGCUCAGAGAAAAUGCUGAUGGCACAAGAGUGGAACUGUGAGACAGUUCCAGGGAAACAGAGACAAAGUGAAUGCAUGUUGUAAUGCUUCAUCUUUGGUGAACUUCACUGUGGGUCAGAAAAGAAGGAAUUCUUCAGGAGGAUGUUUGGAAGGUAGCCCUCCAGAAGCAAGUCCAAGGAGGAGACAGGAGAAGGAAUAAUGGCUCCCCACGGUCCUGUCCCAAGCCACAUUCCCCAUCUACUAGUUCCUCGCUGGAAUUUAAGGAAACAAGGAUGAAUUAGAGACAGGCCCAGCUCUGACAGAGCUCAGUGCAUAAUGAAGAACACAGAGGCACAAGCAACCUCAAUGCAGAUUCACAGGGUGCCAGGAGCACAGAGGAGGGGCAGCCACUGCAGUGGGACAGGGAAGGUCAACAAGGGCUGCAGAAGACCUUGACAUCAUACCUGAGUCCUGAUAUUUGGUGGGCCAAUGGAAAUUACCUGGGAAUAGCAAGGGGCAGAAAGGACAUUCCAGACAGAGGAAGCCACACACGCAAAACGCAGGAGGCCUGAUCCAGCAUGGGGGCUUCCACAAAAGCCCAUUUUACAGGAGAGAAAACUGAGGUUCACAGGAGUGAAGCAGCUCCCCACAAAGGCACAUUAAUAAUGAUAAAAGUAAAACUUCAGCCAAAUUAAAUGUAAAGGAGUUUAAUUCAGCAAUGAAUGAUCUGCGAACCGGGCAGCCCCCAGAACUGGAACAGAUUCUCAGAGACUCCAGCGCGGCCACGUGGUGGAAGAUUUAUAGACAAAAAAAAAAUGAAAAAGGGAAAUGACGUACAGAAAUCAACAGUGAGGUACAGAAACAGCUGGAUUGGUUACAGGUUGGCAUUUGCCUUAUUUAAACACAGUUUGAGCAUUUAACAGUCUAUGAGUGGUUGAAGUUCGGCCACUGGGAUUGGCCAAGACUCAGCUAUUGUUACAGGCACAUACUCCUAAAUGAGCUUUUCAAUCUUGUCUAUUAAGCUAGGUUACAGGUGGUGCACAAGGACUCAAACGUAGAAGUAUGAAGUCCUUCUCAGGCCAUAUGUAGUUUGCUUUAACAAUAAUAAGUGGCUGAGCACAGUGGCUCACACCUGUAAUCCCAGCACUUUGGGAGGCUGAAGUGAGUGGAUCAUCAGGUCAGGAGUUCGAGACCAGCCUAACACAGUAAAACCCCUUUCUACUAAAAAUACAAAAAUUAGCCAGGCGUGGUGGCAGGCGCCU